rnacentral:rRNA from 1 species
GACGACGACGUUGAUAGGCCGGGUGUGUAAGCGCAGCGAUGCGUUGAGCUAACCGGUACUAAUGAACCGUGAGGCUUAACCUUACAACGCCGAAGAUGUUG